CUUGUGGAAUCUCUCUUGGAAAGUAGUGACAGGAGUGCUGGCAUCAGUGAUGUGCAGCCAUGAAGGGGCAAGUGACAUACAUACUUAUUUUAAGAUUGCCAAGAGCAAAAUCUAUCUGAUUUCUUUAGUUUGAACAUGCAGCUGCUAAAAUUAAAAAAAAAAUAGUAUGCUUUUCCCCUUUUUAAUUCUGUACAAAACACAGAAUGAUUUGGGUUGGAAGCAACUUAAAAGAUGAUCUAUUUCCAGCCCCCUUCCAUGGGCAGGGACACCUUCCACUAGACCAGGUUACUCAAAGCCACAUCCAACCUGGUCUUGAACACUUCCCGGGAUGGGACAUCCACAGCUCUGCAUCCUGUGCCAGUGCCUCACCACCUACACAGUUGGAGCUGUCAAAGUGGAUUUGGAGCUGGAUUUAAAGACCAUUUAAAAUUUGUAAAUUUGGUGGAUAUAUGCCUGCAGGUUUCCACUAUAAAAAUGGAGGCAUUACUUUUGGUACAUCCUCUGGACUAAAAGUCUCCUGGCAUCAGUGAAAUAAAGCAGGAAGGUACACAGUGUCCCAGCCCUAGAUGAAGUUGUGAUAAUUGGCUUUUGAAGAUAUAAAAGUUGAUUGAUUUGUUGUUGGG